rnacentral:lncRNA from 1 species
UCCGUGUGCCAAAAAUAGGCCGCGGGCAAAGCCGCGCCCAAAAAUAACCGCCCGAAGGCCGGGGCGCCAAGUUCGUCCAGCGGAAAGAGGCCACAAAAACGGGUGGGCUAUAGCCUUGGGGGGUGGGGCUGGCCCACUUCAUCCGCCGGACUCGGAAUGCCGCGAGGGUUUGCGAGGGGCCUCCGUGUGCCAAAAAUAGGCCGCGGGCAAAGGCGCGCCCAAAUAUAACCGCCCGAAGGCCGGGGCGCCAAGUUCGUUCAGCGGAAAAAGCCCACAAAAACGGGUGGGCUAUAGCCUUGGUGGGCGGGGCUGCCCACUUCGUCCGCCGGACAACUUCGUCCGCCGGGCUCGGAAUGCCGUGAGACUUUGCGAGGGGCCUCCGUGCGCCAAAAAUAGUCCGCGGGCAAAGCCGCGCCCAAAAAUAACCGCCCGAAGGCCGGGGCGCCAAGUUCGUCCAGCGUAAAAAGGCCACAAAAACGUGUGGGCUACAGCCUUGGGGGGUGGGGCUGGCCAACUUCGUCCGCCGGACUCGGAAUGCCGCGAGACUUUACGAGGGGCCUCCGUGUGCAAAAAAUAGGCCGCGGGCAUAGCCGCACCCAAAUAUAACCGCCCGAAGGCCGGGGCGCCAAGUUCGUCCAGCGGACAAAGGCCACAAAAACGGGUGGGCUAUAGCCUUCGGGGGUGGGGCUGGCCAACUUCGUCCGCCGGACUCGGAAUGCUGUGAGACUUUGCGAGGGGCCUCCGUGUGCCAAAAAUAGGCCGCGGGCAAAGCCGCGCCCAAAAAUAACCACCCGAAGGCCGGGGCGCCAAGUUCGUCCAGCGGAAAAAGGCCCCAAAAACGGGUGGGCUAUAGCCUUGGGGGGUGGGGCUGGCCCACUUCGUCCGCCGGACUCGGAAUGCCGCGAGACUUUUCGAGGGGUCUCUGUUGCCAAAAAUAGGCCGCGGGCAAAGCCGCGCCCGAAGGCCGGGGCGCCAAGUUCGUCCAUCGAAAAAAGGCCACAAAAACGGGUGGGCUAUAGCCUUGGGAGGUGGGGCAGGCCAACUUCGUCCCCCGGACUCAGAAUGCCGCGAGACUUUGCGAGGGGUCUCCGUGUGCCAAAAAUAGGCCGCGGCCAGAGCCGCGCCCAAAAAUAACCGCCCGAAGGCCGGGGCGCAAAGUUCGUCCAGCGGAAAAAGGCCACGAAAACGGGUGGGCUAUAGCCUUGGGGGGUGGGGCUGGCCAACUUCAUCCGCCGGACUCGGAAUGCCGCGAGACUUUGCGAGGGGCCUUCGUGUGCCAAAAAUAGGCCGCGGGUAAAGCCGCGCCCAAAAAUAACUGCCCGAAGGCCGGGCGCCAAGUUCGUCCAGCGGAAAAAGGCAACAAAAACGGGUGGGCUAUAGCCUUGGGGGGUGGGGCUGGCCAACUUCGUCCGCCGGACUCGGAAUGCCGCGAGACUUUGCGAGGGGCCUCCGUGUACCAAAAAUAGGCCGCGGGCAAACCCACGCCGAAAAAUAACCGCCCGAAGGACGGGGCGCCCAGUUCGUCCUGCGGAAAAAGGCCACAAAAACGGGUGGGCUUUAGCCUGGGGGGUGGGGCUGGCCGACUUUGUCCGCCGGACUCGGAAUGCCGCGAGACUUUGUGAGGGGCCUCCGUGUGCCAAACAUAGGCUGCGGGUAAAGCCACGCCCAAAAAUAACCGCCCGAAGGCCGGGGCGCCGAGUUCGUCCAGCGGAAAAAGGCCACAAAAACGGGUGGGCUAUAUCCUUGGGGGGUGGGGCUCGCCAACUUCAUCCGCUGGUCUCGGAAUGCCGCGAGACUUUGCGAGGGGUCUCCGUGUGCCAAAAAUAGGCCGCGGGCAAAGCCGCGCCCAAAAAUAACCGCCCGAAGGCCGGGGCGCCAAGUUCGUCCAGCGGAAAGAGGCCUCAAAAACGGGUGGGCUAUAGCCUUGGGGGGUGGGGCUGGCCCACUUCAUCCGCCGGACUCGGAAUGCCGCGAGGGUUUGCGAGGGGCCUCCGUGUGCCAAAAAUAGGCCGCGGGCAAAGGCGCGCCCAAAUAUAACCGCCCGAAGGCCGGGGCGCCAAGUUCGUUCAGCGGAAAAAGCCCACAAAAACGGGUGGGCUAUAGCCUUGGUGGGCGGGGCUGCCCACUUCGUCCGCCGGACAACUUCGUCCGCCGGGCUCGGAAUGCCGUGAGACUUUGCGAGGGGCCUCCGUGCGCCAAAAAUAGUCCGCGGGCAAAGCCGCGCCCAAAAAUAACCGCCCGAAGGGCGGGGCGCCAUGUUCGUCCAGCGGAAAAAGGCCACAAAAACGGGUGGGCUAUAGCCUUGGGGGGUGGGGCUGGCCAACUUCCUCCGCCGGACUCGGAAUGCCGCGAGACUUUGUGAGGUACCUCCGUGUGCCAAAAAUAGGCUGCGGGUAAAGCCGCGCCCAAAAAUAACCGCCCGAAGGCCGGGGCGCCGAGUUCGUCCAGCGGAAAAAGGCCACAAAAACGGGUGGGCUAUAGCCUUGGGGGGUGGGGCUGGCCAACUUCAUCCGCCGGACUCGGAAUGCCGCGAGACUUUGCGACGGGCCUCCGUGUGCCAAAAAUAGGCCGCGGACAAAGCCGCGCCCAAAAAUAACCGCCCGAAGGCCGGGGCGCCAAGUUCGUCCAGCGGAAAAAGGCCACAAAAACGGGUGGGCUAUAGCCUUGGGGGGUGGGGCUGGCCAACUUCGUCCGCCGGACUCGGAAUGCCGCGAGACUUUGCGAGGGGCCUCCGUGUGCCAAAAAUAGGCCGCGGGCUAAGCCGCGCCCAAAAAUAACCGCCCGAAGGCCGGGGCGCCAAGUUCGUCCAGCGGAAAAAGGCCACAAAAACGGGUGGGCUAUAGCCUUGGGGGGUGGGGCUGACCAACUUUGUCCGCCGGACUCGGAAUGCCGCGAGACUUUGCGAGGGGCGUCCUUGUGCCAAAAAUGGGCUACGGGCAAAGCCGCGCCCAAAAAUAACCGCCCGAAGGCCGGCGCGCCAAGUUCGUCCAGCGGAAAGAGGCCACAAAAACGGGUGGGCUAUAGCCUUGGGGGGUGGGGCUGGCCCACUUCAUCCGCCGGACUCGGAAUGCCGCGAGGGUUUGCGAGGGGCCUCCGUGUGCCAAAAAUAGGCCGCGGGCAAAGGCGCGCCCAAAUAUAACCGCCCGAAGGCCGGGGCGCCAAGUUCGUUCAGCGGAAAAAGCCCACAAAAACGGGUGGGCUACAGCCUUGGUGGGCGGGGCUGCCCACUUCGUCCGCCGGACAACUUCGUCCGCCGGGCUCGGAAUGCCGUGAGACUUUGCGAGGGGCCUCCGUGCGCCAAAAAUAGUCCGCGGGCAAAGCCGCGCCCAAAAAUAACCGCCCGAAGGCCGGGGCGCCAAGUUCGUCCAGCGUAAAAAGGCCACAAAAACGUGUGGGCUACAGCCUUGGGGGGUGGGGCUGGCCAACUUCGUCCGCCGGACUCGGAAUGCCGCGAGACUUUACGAGGGGCCUCCGUGUGCAAAAAAUAGGCCGCGGGCAUAGCCGCACCCAAAUAUAACCGCCCGAAGGCCGGGGCGCCAAGUUCGUCCAGCGGACAAAGGCCACAAAAACGGGUGGG